UGGAAGGGGAAAAACAUUUUCAAAUUCCAACUUACAGUGGACUUGAUCUACAACUGAGGUUCUAGAAAGCAGGAUUAUGUAGAAAGUUGAGCGAGAGGAGUGUAGGUUGCCUAAAGACUUCAUGCUGAAAUGAAUCCAAAGGAACGCCCUGUCAUAGCAACAUCAUGAAGACAGUCCAUGAAUGACAGCAUUUGGGGUCUUUGUUUACUGGAUUUUCCUGAGAGUCGUAUACACCCUCAUCUGUUCUUGCACCUGUCUUAAUGAUGAGCGGCUUGUUCUCUGGGCUGACCUUUCAUCCAAAGGAGUAAUCGUGGAGAUGACCAAGCAGUACUUGUCCCUCCAAGCCCUGUGCAGCUUGCAAAGACACAGAGUAUAAUUACACGGCACCAACCAGCGAAACUACUGGCUCCUAUGGUAACUCUGAGGCUGCUCUUCAUGCUGGCAUCCUUCUGCAGAGAAGCUGCUGUGGGAAUGCUGGCCCCAACUCUGUUCUGUUAGGAGCCAUCAACUUUAAAGCUUCUGUAUCCAAUUGGGCGGGUUUUAUAGUAGGACUAAGCACCGCAGUGUUUUGUAGCAAGGUGAAUAUUCAGAACCUUACUGAACUUUACACCUGAAAAUCAUUAAAAUUGUAAAUUCUGUAUUAUGCAUUUUUCACCACACUAAAAAAGAUUAAGCAUCUUGAUUUGUUUUCCCAAGAUAGAAACACCUUUAUUGCUUCUGCUGGUUUUUGAGCAAUAAAGGCUCUUCAAAAUUCUAACAGAGGAGAGCAAUAUAGAUAUAGAUUUUUAAAAAGCUUUGUCAUCUUUCCUAGUUGGGAUACUCACUGUGACCAGUUUGUCAGAUAACUGUAGGGGCUACUAUUCUGCACAAACAGCAAAAGAAUACUGUACAUGUUGUGAAGACCUCAAAAUAGCUAGUGGGGAUGAGGUCCCACCAAUUACCCUGAGAUGAUCAUUACAUGCUAUAAAUAUGCAUUGAUAAACCAUACUCGACCCCAAUAA